AUACGUAGGGUGCAAGCGUUAAUCGGAAUUACUGGGCGUAAAGCGUGUGUAGGCGGUUCGGAGAGAAAGAUGUGAAAUCCCAGGGCUCAACCUUGGAACUGCAUUUUUAACUGCCGAGCUAGAGUAUGUCAGAGGGGGGUAGAAUUCCACGUGUAGCAGUGAAAUGCGUAGAUAUGUGGAGGAAUACCGAUGGCGGAGGCAGCCCCCUGGGAUAAUACUGACGCUCAGACACGAAAGCGUGGGGAGC
rnacentral:rRNA from 1 species